GAGUGCUGCAAAUUGCAACAGGGCCUCCUGGUCUGACUACAAAUAGCAGUGUGGAGCAUAAAAGUGACUAGGACUCCCCCGUCCCCUUGAAAUGGCCUAGGCAAAUGGCCCACACAGGGACAGAGGCACAGUGUAGAACAGGGAAGUGAGUGCUGAUGGUUAGGGUCUGGGACCUCGAGCCUUCUCUCCUGGCCACCUUGCACUAUGCAGGACAAAGAGCACUGUCCCAGAUCUACAGGACUGGAGCUGUAUCAGGGGUGGGGAGGACCUGCAGCCAGAACUCAGAUGCCACAGGUCCAGUGACUUCGUGCCAUUAAGGCAAGAUGCCACUGCUGGUCACCCGCUUUAGUCGAGACUCCUCUCCUUGCUGGCUGUCAUUCACCACAGUUCCUGAGAGGCACCCUGCUCUGUGCCCCAAAGGAGACUGCACUUCGCUGGGGAGGUGUGAGAUUGUUCCCAAGUGGUUGAUCUUUAGAAGCGUCGGCACACUCCUUCUCUAGGGUCCUGAGGGCCCUGUCAGGAUUCCAGCAAUGGGAGGAGAAAUGGGCGCUGUGCUCAUCGCUCACGAGUCAGCCAUAGAACUUAACAUCUGAGAAGGGACGCACUGGUUCCCUAAGAAAGAAGCCCAAGUUGAAGGCCUCCCGAACAGGCCCAGACUCUGCACCUAAACUGGAGGCCACCAAAUGAGGUUUAAAAAUAACUCAGAAGGACUGGCAAAGGGGAAGAAAAGAGAAGCUUAUUACCUCGGAAUGAAUACAAAGCCCAACAAAUUCACAAGACCAAGGCUACAAGGCCGGACUGCAAAGGAAUACGCUAUGUUUGAGAGAAACACACCAGAAAUGAAGAAGAAACUCCGAGUUGCUCUGUGAGGGCCGCGUUUGUCUCUGACCAUAACAGAAGUGUAUCAGUUGCAUGCCACGGUGUCCCAGUUGGGCAACCUCAAAGCAGGUCCCCGGUAAGGGUUCCUUCUGCCUGACACACCAAGAGGGUGAGUGGGCUCCGGGGAAGGCCUGGGCCCUCUAACUGCUGCCCUCGGCACCAGAUGCCUGCUGAGAGUUGGAAGUAAGUGAGGGCGGCCCUGUUCCCCUCAGGCAGCUGUACUGGGAGCCGGAGGAAGGCACAGGCUGGAUGCCCAAACCAGGGAGGAAUGGGCCGAAGUGGGAGAAUGUGGGUGAGCACUGUGCCGCUCUGGGGAGGCUUUCAUCUGUGGGUCUCCAUCGGCUUCGUGGCUGGGGGUCUAGGGUGAGGCCAGGGCUCGCUUCCCGCCCUGUUGAGCAGUACUUUUCAACCAAUGGCUUCAGGAAAGGUGCACGGUGCUGUGGCCAGUGUGACGGGAGAUGUGAGCGUGUUUUAGGCCCCCAGUGACACCACUGACGGAGCAAAGCCUGUGCGACUCACACAACAACAGUGUUGCUCACGGUCUGGGAGGUGGAAUUCCGUGUUGGGGCGUGGCAGGACCGGCUGCUUCUGGUAUCUUUCUCCUUGGCUUUGAUCCCCCAUCUUCUUCCCCUGU